UACGUAGGGUGCGAGCGUUAAUCGGAAUUACUGGGCGUAAAGUGUGCGCAGGCGGCCGAGCAAGUCGAGUGUGAAAGCCCCGGGCUUAACUUGGGAAUUGCGCUCGAAACUACUUGGCUGGAGUGUGGCAGAGGAAGGUGGAAUUCCAGGUGUAGCGGUGAAAUGCGUAGAGAUCUGGAGGAAUACCGAUGGCGAAGGCAGCCUUCUGGGCCAACACUGACGCUCAUGCACGAAAGCGUGGGGAGCAAACAGG
rnacentral:rRNA from 1 species